CCUACGGGAGGCAGCAGUGGGGAAUAUUGCGCAAUGGGGGCAACCCUGACGCAGCAACGCCGCGUGAUUGAAGAAGGCCUUCGGGAUGUAAAGAUCUUUAAUCGGGGACGAAUUUUGACGGUUCCCGAAGAAUAAGCUCCGGCUAACUACGUGCCAGCAGCCGCGGUAAUACGUAGGGAGCAAGCGUUAUCCGGAUUUACUGGGUGUAAAGGGCGUGUAGGCGGGCAUGCAAGCCAGAAGUGAAAUCUGGUGGGUCAACCAUUCAGACUAUUAGCUAAACUGUUAAGCUCGAGAGCGUUAGGGGUAACUGGAAUUUCUAGUGUAGGAGUGAAAUCCGUAGAUAUUAGAAAGAACACCGAUAGCGUAGGCAGGUUACUGGGACGGUUCUGACACUAAGGCACGAAAGCGUAGGGAGCAAACGGGAUUAGAUACCCGGGUAGUC
rnacentral:rRNA from 1 species